AUACUUACUUGGCAGGGCAGCUACCAUGAUCACGAAGGUGGUUUUCCCAGGGCAAGGCUUAUCCAUUGCACACUGGAUGUGCUGAUCCCUGCAAUUUCCCCAAAGGUGGGAAACUUGACGGCAUAAUUUGUGGCAGAGGGGGACUGUUUUCAUGCUCUCCCCUG